AGUGAACGCUGGCGGUAGGCCUAACACAUGCAAGUCGAACGGCAGCACAGUAAGAGCUUGCUCUUACGGGUGGCGAGUGGCGGACGGGUGAGGAAUACAUCGGAAUCUACUUUUUCGUGGGGGAUAACGUAGGGAAACUUACGCUAAUACCGCAUACGACCUACGGGUGAAAGCAGGGGAUCUUCGGACCUUGCGCGAUUGAAUGAGCCGAUGUCGGAUUAGCUAGUUGGCGGGGUAAAGGCCCACCAAGGCGACGAUCCGUAGCUGGUCUGAGAGGAUGAUCAGCCACACUGGAACUGAGACACGGUCCAGACUCCUAAGGGAGGCAGCAGUGGGGAAUAUUGGACAAUGGGCGCAAGCCUGAUCCAGCCAUACCGCGUGGGUGAAGAAGGCCUUCGGGUUGUAAAGCCCUUUUGUUGGGAAAGAAAAGCAGCAGGUUAAUACCCAGCUGUUCUGACGGUACCCAAAGAAUAAGCACCGGCUAACUUCGUG
rnacentral:rRNA from 1 species